UACAGAGGUCUCAAGCGUUGUUCGGAUUCAUUGGGCGUAAAGGGUGCGUAGGUGGCGCCGUGAGUCGGGUGUGAAAUUUCGGAGCUUAACUCCGAAACUGCAUUCGAUACUGCGGUGCUUGAGGACUGGAGAGGAGACUGGAAUUCAUGGUGUAGCAGUGAAAUGCGUAGAGAUCAUGAGGAAGACCAGUGGCGAAGGCGGGUCUCUGGACAGUUCCUGACGCUGAGGCGCGAAGGCCAGGGGAGCAAACGGG
rnacentral:rRNA from 1 species